GGGGGCGAAUUGGAUUCGACGGGCAGCAGAAGGGCGGUAGAACGGCAUGCCGGGCUUUCUCGCUAUCCCGUAACAUUAGCGAGAGCAUCGGUAAAAUGCCGACUAUAAUUACGCUAUGGCUGCCUAAUAAUUGAGCAGCCCGUCCACUAAAGCUCCUGCCUGCCGGGGCUUUAGCUGGGCGUCGCCAAAGGCAGGCCGGGAUCUGGAGGUGCCUGGACUUCAGAUCUUUGUAUUCCCACCAGGCUCGCCAUCGGGUAGCCCGCCUGACGGCUCACCGAUGGUUAAAUGGAAAGUCAGGCUAAGCAUGUAGAAGUUCUAUCGACCUCCUGCCCGGACGCGGGUUCGAUUCCCGCCGCCUCCACAA
rnacentral:tmRNA from 1 species